GGAGGAGGUUGGGGGGUUUGGGUCUGCGGCAAAGAGGGAGAAGGAUUUGGAUAAAGAAGGUUGAGGGGAUAGUGCACAUGCAGGAAGCCCAUCCUUUCCCUCCACCACGUGUCCUGCUGAAGCAGAUGGUGCCGUGUGGCUCCGCCAUGCCACUGUGGUCGCCUUGUGAGCACUGCUGGCAUAAGGAGGCGGGUUAGUGGGAGAUUUGGGGUGACAGUGUUUGGCAGGGGCUACAAAGUGAAGAUGUAGGGAGGGGAGAAAGCGCUUGGUGCCUUGGGCUGACACCAAGGCACCGCACAAAAGACAAAAGAAUGAAAAAAAAAAAAAAAGCUUUUUAGGACACAAUUGGUUACGGUGUGUCAGAAGAGCAGGUUUGUGCUUUGGGAGGCGACUCCCCGCUGGUAAUGCAGUGAGAGAGGAGUAGGGGAGAAACCAGACGAGCAAAGACAGCCGCCACCUCACACUGGAGAGGGUGCGCUUGGCCCCAACACCUGUUUCUCAUUCAAACCUGGAAGGUUAACAGCUGUCUGGGAAGAUGACUGAGUCUUACAGGCCCGUACAGUGGGAGCUUCUAACCAUCGUGGACAAACAAAGCCAGAGCGCGCCAAUCAGAAUGACAGCUGCCUUAAUGCCUCCAGACCUCAUUUAAAUACUUCACUUCCUCCGUCCUCAGUACUCGAUGACAUGUUGACAUGACUCAACAAAGGACAAAUUAAUGUACAAUUAUUGCUCCUCACCAUCAAAUACAUACAACCUCAGGCAUUUAUACGUGCAUCAUCUCUACCCAUCUAUCAUCCCAAAGAAAAUUCCCCAUCAGCAUCAUGCUCUCCGGAUCAAAUCAAAAACAGCAAAAGCAGGUCGGCACUCCAGCAGCCUGUCAGCUCAGCUCAAGUCUUUAUCUUUCUCUUGCGUCUCUUCACAUUGAAGACAAAUGGAAGAGGGCCCUGCCCGUGGCAUUGGGAAGAAGGAAAUGUCCAUUCUAAUAUCCUGUCUCAAGCACACCCUCUCUCCAUCAGAAUCACGUCUAUCAGUCCAUCUUGCUGGAUGUGGUGCAUGUGCGUGUGGGGAGGUGGGCACAGUGCUAUCUGAUGUUCUCCUCCCUCGUCUCUUUUUACAUUUUGUGGCAAGGACAUUCAGCAAUUACUUAGGAGACACACAUUCUAUGGUGCUGAUCUACAAAGAUUCCCAGUAAGGAGUGCUAAAUUUUGUAAGCAGGAAAAAAAAAAAAAAAAAAAUGUGCAUGUGCAUUUAAGUGACCGGGUCGCAUUUGAUUGGAGGUGCAAAAGUCGUGCAGAACGCUGUCUUUUGAUGAAAAUUUUCCAUCUCAGUCUUCUUAUCUCAGCAACUUAAAGCUUUUAAAACAGAACUUAAGGCCUCUAGUGAUCUAAAAAGGAAUUUUGUUCAGGCUCUAUUACUUUGACAACUCUGACUCUAAGUUUAUAUCAGAUGUUUUUGGUCAUCUUAAGGUUUUAGUGCACUGCCUGAAUUUUAAACCAAUAUUUGCUUUUGCUGGAGCAAAAAAAAAAAAAAAAAAAAAAGAAAAAAAAAACAAAAAAUCCUGUUGGCAUACAGUUAUAACUGCUAGAGCAAAACUGACUCAGAGGGGCCUGUAAGAAAACAACUCCUCCCAUUUGUAGAGUCAUUUUUACCAAAACCCAAACAAAAUAUGCACAGGCUGCACAUCAUUAUAUUUUAACAUCAUUCACUUAAACACAAAAGUAUUUUAUUUGAAGCACUGCUGCUCAUCCCUCUUGGGAAUAUAAUUAGCUAUUAAUUUAAAGAUGCCCAGCUGUGCACUACUUGGAAAACAAGAAGACGUGUUAGAAGAGGAAUUCCAGAAACAAAGCUUAGGAAGUACGGACAGGAAGUGUAGGGAAAAGAGAGACAUUUGCCGGCACCUCAUUUAUGGCACUUCUCUACUUUGUCCUGCAUGACCUUCUCCCAAAGUACAGCCUCUGAGGUUGUGUUGAGUGUAAAAAUACUUGCUGCCAAAAUCCACACUUUGCUGAAUUAUUUUGACAGACUUUUUUAUUUAUUUGCUGUUCUUCUCACACUUCCACUUUUACUUCACCCUUCAUUGCCUUCUGUACAGACACAGUGCCAGAUCUGUGCCCAAAGGUGUGUACCAGCCACCUAGAAUGUUUACCUUUUUACACUUUGUGAUUUGUAGCUCCCAUCAUGCAAAAAGUAAGCUUCAGGGAGCUUAAAGUUCUUUCUCUGGGAUGUUUUGUUUCACAAAGAUUUAAGCAAAGGGCACAGCCUGAAUUGGAAAGCACUAUUGGAAAUUUAUUUCCAAUGACAAUUAACAUUUUUUUCUUUUUAAUCAUGCAUUACAUUGUGACAACUUCAUAAUAAAAUUAUUGUUUUCAGUGACAAAGAUGUUAUGAACUCUUUAAUGUAACUAUUGUUUUCAUUAACUGUUAUUAGUUAGAUGUAAGUUUCCCCUCUAUAGAGGGCAUCCCUAACUCAGUGAUUCUGUGUUUAGUUUUGGGAAGAGCAGAGCUAUUUUUGUAAAAGAAAAAAAAAAAUUCUAUGGUCUUUGUUUUCCUUUCCUACAGAAAUUACUCUUGGCUCAAGGCUCAUGUGUUCAGCUACACUUCUUGCACAAAAACCUUGACAAACCUAUUGCUGCUUUCUCAGAUAAACUUUUUU